AAGCAGGUAAUUUAUCUCAGUGCUGCUUCUUUAUGUGGAAGUUCUGCAGAGGGGAGCUUAAAACCUGAAACUGCAUAUUCUUCUUCAGCCCUUCCUCCCUUUGUCUCUCCUUUUCUCUGUCAUCUCUUUCAAUUCCAAAAUAAUUGAGGACAUCAUGUUAAGUGUCCUAAGGAGCAAGGAUUGGAGGGGAGAGACUGAACGCAAAAAAAGGAGAUGGGGAAGAUUUUUCUUGGUGUAACAAAGUUGCCUGAUUGCAGGGUGCUCUCUCCUCCACAAAACUGCCCAUUCUUUAGGAUCUUUCCCGUUUUCAUCAUUUGCUGGAAUUGGGCAGGAGCAAAUGCUGGGCUUCACUACUGAUUGUGAUCCUGAAAUUCUUCUGUUACAGCCUUACCACAUUGUGCUUGGUUACCACCCUGAAACUCCAGUAAUAGAGCUGACUCUCUGAGGAGGACAGAAAGAUCUGACCAGUAAAAAGAGCUGACAGCAACACAUUUACUAGUCAUUUGUUUGGGUGUACAUAAAUAUAUGUAGAGAUCUAAUUCUCAGGACUCAGGACUUCUCAAUAUUUUCCAAUAAAUAGGAUGCAAGCAUAUGGACCUAUAGAACCAACUGGUAAAAAAGGAAUCAUCUUCUGGCUGAGACAAGAAAGAGGCAUAAUAUUGUGCAUGCUGUUUGUCAAAUACCC
rnacentral:lncRNA from 1 species